rnacentral:lncRNA from 1 species
UAACAUGAUUUGAUUCUUUAAAACCAGGCAAUAGAGAGAAAACAGAGCAGAUCAUGGAUAGCAAAUGGUUCAAUUGUAGAUAGAAGACACAUGAUGCAAGGUGUUAACUGAUGUGACUAUGUAUCCAUCACCAGGAAUCCCAAGAGCAACAUGGAAGUCUCCAUCAGUAGGCAUGCAAUGAAUCAAAACAAGAGUGAGUUGUGAAAUCAAAUGUCUACAAAUGACAGCUGGCUAGUGACUGGAGAAACACAUCUGUCCUGUCUUACUGAUGGCCUAUGAUGUGGUGUAGCAUUUGGAAUUUUCCAUUGCAGUUUUCAAAGUCAUCUCCAAAGUUUAUGGUAUCAGUAUUAGAUUGGAAAAUCAUACUCUAAAACUUUAUUUUAAAGAAAGACUGGUGAAUCAUAAUAGACAAAUGAUUACAAAAAUAAAGGCAAGAAAAGUUAUGAACUGCUGAACUGAAGAAGAUAAAGGAUUUCACUUCUAAGUGGAAAUCACAAACUUGUAGAGACAAAGAAAAUGUUCAUGAUGGGACACACCUCGGUUCAAAUGCUGGACUGGUUCCACCCACUCUUUCAACCAUUACACUUAUUUUCAAAGUCCAAGACUUGCCUGAUAUGGGCUGUCAUAUGGAGACACACUAGCUUCAUAGGAUGGACAUGCUCUCUAAGACUGAGGAACAUGGAGGAAGAGGAAAGGAGAGACGAGACGCAGCAGGAUGAUUUCUUCUGGAAAUGACACAUGGUUGCCUUAGGAGCUCGCUUUCAGCUGUGGUAAUCUGCACAAAGCCACACAGCACUGAGUCCACUAAGACUUCAUCAUGGCUGGAGGUGUAAAUGGGCAGGAAAAAGGACACCCGUCCAUGUUGAGUGUGUAGACUGAAAACUGAAUUUGUGUUUAAUUCAGAGAGGAACUUCCUCUUCCCCGGUCUUAUUUCUUCCAAUGCUUUAUUUCUCCUGUGAUCUAAAUCAAUAAAAGAGUUUUCUCUUGAAAAGAUGGAGGUGUAGUUCGGUCUGUAGUGUUUAUCUAUCAUUCAUAAGCCCUUAGAAUCAAUUACCCGCACUUCCUGAUUCCUUAAACCUGGAUUGCUGGAAUACUCAGCACCCAUGGAUUCAGGUUGGAGGAAAUGACUAGGAAAUAGAAUUCAUUCUCCUCUCCAUAUCAUUUUAAUAUGACAUAAGAGUUAGUGGUAGUCUAACAACAGACUUUUUUACCCAGGAAUCCCGCUUCUGUUUGUUACUUACUGACCUUGACUAAAU